rnacentral:rRNA from 1 species
UGCGUAGGCGGGUCUUUAAGUCAGGGGUGAAAUCCUGGAGCUCAACUCCAGAACUGCCUUUGAUACUGAAGAUCUUGAGUUCGGGAGAGGUGAGUGGAACUGCGAGUGUAGAGGUGAAAUUCGUAGAUAUUCGCAAGAACACCAGUGGCGAAGGCGGCUGUCUGGUCCGGUUCUGACGCUGAGGCGCGAAAGCGUGGGGAGCAAACA